CGGCAUCUGUUGGAGUGCAACUG
rnacentral:miRNA from 12 species